UACGGGAGGCAGCAGUGGGGAAUUUGACAAUGGGGGAAACCCUGAUCCAGCCAUCCCGCGUGUGCGCGAAGGCCUUCGGGUUGUAAAGCACUUUUGGCAGGAAAGAAAAGGCACGAUACAUCUGCAAUUGACGGUACCUGCAGAAUAAGCACCGGCUAACUACGUGCCAGCAGCCGCGGUAAUACGUAGGGUGCAAGCGUUAACGGAAUUACUGGGCGUAAAAGCGUGCGCAGGCGGUUCGGAAAGAAAGAUGUGAAAUCCCAGAGCUUAACUUCAACUACUUUUUAAUCAUCGAGCGAGUACGAGGGAGGUGGAAUUUCAGCGUGUAGCAGUGAAAUGCGUAGAUAUGCGGAGGAACACCGAUGGCGAAGGCAGCCUCCUGGGAUAAACACUGACGUGACUAUGCACGAAAGCGUGGGGAGCAAACAGGAUUAGAUACUCCGGGUAGU
rnacentral:misc_RNA from 1 species